rnacentral:rRNA from 1 species
AUUGAACGCUGGCGGCAGGCUUAACACAUGCAAGUCGAGCGGGGUGAUGGUGCUUGCACUAUCACUUAGCGGCGGACGGGUGAGUAAUGCUUAGGAAUCUGCCUAUUAGUGGGGGACAACAUCUCGAAAGGGAUGCUAAUACCGCAUACGUCCUACGGGAGAAAGCAGGGGAUCUUCGGACCUUGCGCUAACAGAUGAGCCUAAGUCGGAUUAGCUAGUUGGUGGGGUAAAGGCCUACCAAGGCGACGAUCUGUAGCGGGUCUGAGAGGAUGAUCCGCCACACUGGGACUGAGACACGGCCCAGACUCCUACGGGAGGCAGCAGUGGGGAAUAUUGGACAAUGGGGGGAACCCUGAUCCAGCCAUGCCGCGUGUGUGAAGAAGGCCUUAUGGUUGUAAAGCACUUUAAGCGAGGAGGAGGCUACUUUAGUUAAUACCUAGAGAUAGUGGACGUUACUCGCAGAAUAAGCACCGGCUAACUCUGUGCCAGCCGCCGCCGUAA